rnacentral:rRNA from 1 species
CCUACGGGAGACAGCAGUGGGGAAUAUUGCGCAAUGGGCGAAAGCCUGACGCAGCGACGCCGCGUGAGGGAUGAAGGUCUUCGGAUCGUAAACCUCUGUCAGCAGGGAAGAACGGUCACUGUGCUAAACAGCAGUGAAUUGACGGUACCUGCACAGGAAGCACCGGCUAACUCCGUGCCAGCAGCCGCGGUAAUACGGAGGGUGCGAGCGUUAAUCGGAAUUACUGGGCGUAAAGCGCUCGUAGGCGGUAUGUCAAGUCAAGGGUGAAAUCCCCGAGCUCAACGUGGGAACUGCCUUUGAAACUGGCAAGCUGGAGUGUGUGAGAGGAUGGCGGAAUUCCAGGUGUAGGGGUGAAAUGCGUAGAUAUCUGGAGGAACAUCAGUGGCGAAGGCGACUAGCUGGCACAUGACUGACGCUGAGGAGCGAAGGCGUGGGUAGCAAACAGGAUUAGAUACCCGAGUAGUC